GGCGCGCUGAGGAGGCGGCUCUGGCCCAGGUCGUCGCAGCAGCACAGGAGGCUGUAGCACAGACACUGACGGAUCUCGCCCCCACCCGGUCUUCCUAAGAUCUUCUCAACGACGAGAGGGAUCCUUCUGUUGAAAGCCCUCUGUGGCUUCUCAGCUCAUCCAGAGAGGUUCCACCCCAGGGGCCAAAGAAUUGUCAACGUGAACAAGCGACUACAGAGUGGGCAGCACACAUUCCCAGUGGUGCGCAUGGCAGGUGAUAGGGGGCCGGCUGCUCAGCCCGGCACCUCUCCCUGCUUCCUGCAGCACCCGAUGCCUCCGACUACCAAGCUUUUGGUGAUCCUCUCCAACAGCGGUUCCUGUUUCCAGUGUUGGGUUGAAGUUUCUCAGCUCUGCGGUGCCAGACGCAGUGGUAUUGUAAGCAAUGCAAUCUGUGCGACAGAGGGGUUCUGAAAGAACCUUGAACUUCUCCAACACGAAGCACUCGGGUGGUGGCUCUGAGCUAAUCUCUGUGUGCCAAAGCGGCUGCCCCUGCAAGUCUGAGUCUUCAGCUCUGACAGCUCUCACUUGUGGACCCUGCAGGCAGCGAGCGGCAGGCAAGUGAACAGUUUGAGAAGGUCAGCU